rnacentral:lncRNA from 1 species
CUUUCUUCCAUCGACCUACAAGCCUCAACAUAUUCCCUGCCGGAGCCCCUGCAAAUAAACCAAGCUUGCAAAACGUGGUUUGCAUUUUACAAAAGGAGAAUGCCUUUCAGAAGCUGGAAGAACCCAUAUUACAUUUUCUUGUUUGUAAAGGCUUCUAUGUCCGUGUCAGCCGCCUAUUUCAUUGUAAUCGGAAUUAUCGCCUUCCAUUUUCUUUAAGGUUCCCCUAGAGAUGGAUCCAGACCUUCUAAGCAAAGAGCGACCGAAGGGUGGUUGUGUCCCUCGUGUAAGGAUUCUUCAAACUCCAGGAACAAAGACAUAGCCGGAGCAGGAGAUCGCAAGGAGAACGCUCCAGAAGAAAGCUCUAGAACCCAACCAAAGUUUAACCAACACCAGCAACCAAAACAGGCCGGCCUCUGGUACUUGGCGGUGCCGUCUGCAGCUACCUCUCUGAAUUACAUCCCAGCUAUUCCCUUGGCACAAUACCCCAUCUCCUCCAUAAUCUAUUCUCCGCCACCCGUCACUACCUCAAUCUGCUCUUCGGUAGCUCUUCCGGCUUAUGAUGCCACCAGACCGCAAGAAUCAGAGUGGAAAACAUCACCGCAGCGUGUCCGGGAGUAUCACUGCUGCUCCAGGACCUUCUUGCCUUCCACCAGUUUGGAAGACUUAAACUGGACUUUAAACCGGGCCGUGGAAGCUGCUAAAGACAUGAAGUUCACCACCGAACAGAUGAACAAAUCUCUAAGUUGGGCCUUAAGGAAAGCCAGGAGCCCCAGGACGUCCUGUCUCUUCUGACCAGAAUGGACCUAAGAGAAGAGAAAGCCACGGAACGAGGGAAACCAAUAAAAUGGACCAAGUUGCUUGGCUCGUUGGGACU